rnacentral:rRNA from 1 species
GAUGAACGCUGGCGGCGUGCCUAAUACAUGCAAGUCGAGCGAACAGAUAAGGAGCUUGCUCCUUUGACGUUAGCGGCGGACGGGUGAGUAACACGUGGAUAACCUACCUAUAAGACUGGGAUAACUUCGGGAAACCGGAGCUAAUACCGGAUAACAUAUUGAACCGCAUGGUUCAAUAGUGAAAGGCGGCUUUGCUGUCACUUAUAGAUGGAUCCGCGCCGUAUUAGCUAGUUGGUAAGGUAACGGCUUACCAAGGCAACGAUACGUAGCCGACCUGAGAGGGUGAUCGGCCACACUGGAACUGAGACACGGUCCAGACUCCUACGGGAGGCAGCAGUAGGGAAUCUUCCGCAAUGGGCGAAAGCCUGACGGAGCAACGCCGCGUGAGUGAUGAAGGUCUUCGGAUCGUAAAACUCUGUUAUCAGGGAAGAACAAAUGUGUAAGUAACUGUGCACAUCUUGACGGUACCUGAUCAGAGAGCCACGGCUAACUACGUG